UCGGAUAUGGUGUAACGGCUAACAUUGCCGCCUUUCAUAUGGUGCUAGACUGAAUGGCGCGGCAGCUCGGGGUUCGAUUCCCCGUAUCCGAA